rnacentral:lncRNA from 1 species
CCUACCAUUUACAAUGCUUUGAUAAUUUGUAAUCUAGUUAUUUUUAAGUACCCUGAAUAAAGUGUUUGGGAAUUCUGACAAAUCAUAAGAAUUGUGGGAACUACAAUAAAUAAACAAACAAAUAAAAAAAUGAACGAGGUUUGUAUUUUGAAUGUAUUUUACUUGCAAGAACAAAUCAAAAUCUUUUAGGUGCUUAAUUUCUAUUGCAUUUUGUAAGUUUUUCAUAUUAGAUGCUAUUUUCAUGAUAUAUGUUGCUCAUGCAAUCAUGGAUCAGUAGUCCUGAAAAGUUUUGAUCUUGUUAAUUCUGGAUGUAUUCUCCUCUUUCAAAGCAACAAAUGAAUUUCGAGUUUCUUGAAUUGCUGUGAUGUUUUGAUUUCAGCGCAUGAAUUUUGUGGUUUCUCAAUCAUUAUAUUACUAUUAUAUGUUAUGCAAAGGUG